GGGCCCGCACAAGCAGUGGAGCAUGUGGUUUAAUUCGACGCAACGCGAAGAACCUUACCAGGGUUUGACAUCUUCUGACGGCUGCAGCGAUGUAGCUUUCCGCCUUCGGGCGGACAGAAAGACAGGUGGUGCAUGGUUGUCGUCAGCUCGUGUCGUGAGAUGUUGGGUUAAGUCCCGCAACGAGCGCAACCCUUGUUCUUUGUUGCUAACAGUUAAAGCUGAGCACUCAAAGGAGACUGCCGGAGACAAUUCGGAGGAAGGUGGGGAUGACGUCAAAUCAUCAUGCCCUUUAUGCCCUGGGCUACACACGUGCUACAAUGGUCUGUACAACGGGACGCGACGGGGUGACCCUGAGCCAAUCCUAAGAAAGCAGGCCUCAGUUCGGAUUGCAGGCUGCAACCCGCCUGCAUGAAGCUGGAAUUGCUAGUAAUCGCGGAUCAGCACGCCGCGGUGAAUACGUUCCCGGGCCUU
rnacentral:rRNA from 1 species